UGCCAGAAUGUAUCAGCAUGCCCCAAUGCUAAAUACGAAUGCAUCAAUACCAUUGGCUCAGUUAGAUGUAACUGCAGAUAUCAAGGGGAAGACAAUGCAGCAUGUGGGAUGUCAGUAAACCCACCAGGCUGGAAUUCCUUUAACUGCACACUUCGGUGGAUUGCAAUGCCUUCAUCUAAUCUCUCUAAUGCAAAUAAUGCACUGCCCAAUGCAAAUACA